UCCAGGUCCACCAGGUUUGAGAGGGGUGAAAAUAGAUAGAAACAUCACAGAGCCAAAGGCAAAGAAAACGAACCAAAUGCAGGGCUGACCCAGAGAACUUCAAGGCUCUCACAGAAGCUUCUAGUCAAUCUUUGUUGGCUGUAAGCAGCUGCCAUAUGGGAAUUUCACUUCAGAAAUGUCAGAAGUGGAAGAAAGGGCAAGAUCCGUCUAUCAUAACCUACGGUGGAAGGGGAGAGAGUGAAGAAACUGCUGGGGCGAUUCCUUGGCUACACAACAGUAGAUGUCCCUUUCUGUGGUGGCCCCAGCUCUCCUGCUGGCCCAUGAAGUAAUAGAAUAAAGACUAUUCUACAAAGAGUCUAAUGAGCCAAACUGUAUGCCCUUGGGAAUACAGAAUGAGAAGAUAGAAUCUGUGAUGUCAUGAAACAUAAAUUCCCAUUUGUUAAGAACCUGAGCUCUGUGAACAGAUCACCUGGAUUACGUCUCAGACAACUAGCUGUAUGAUUUAGGGCGGCCAUGAGGAAGCAGUAGACUAGGUGUAAGAAGUGCUGUUGGAGUGGGUCUGGGGAGACUCAAGAGCUGGAGGCUAAUGGGGCAUUCAGCAUGCUUGGAGACCUAAGAUCCCACCGGCAGGCAUGGAGGACCAGCCUCAGAGAGCAAGCUGAUCUGAAGACCAGAAAUAUGAAAUCAACAUCACUGGACUGAAAUAAAAAUGUUGGUGCACACCCUUUGGAAGUUGUAGGGGAAAAUCUGUUUCUUGCCUUUUCCAGCUUCCAGCAGCUGCUGGUAUUUCUUGUUUUAUGGCUGUGUCAUUCCAACCUUCAAGGCCAACAUCUUCUAAUCUUUCUUAGUUCCACCUUCAUAGCACAUUCUCUGCAUGCAGUGAGGAUCUUCCUCUAUCUCCCUCUUAUAAAGAUAUAUGUGGCUGCUUUUAGUGUCCACUUGGAUAAUCCCUAACUUAAUCACACUUGCAAAAAUAUAUAAGGCAACAUUCAUGAGAGACUGGAAUUAUGCAGUAGAUACCUUUGUGGACCAUUUUUUAGCCUGCCACAGUAAAAAUCCAUGAGAUGGUGUGGUACAGACUCUGAGUGG